rnacentral:rRNA from 1 species
GAUGAACGCUGGCGGCGUGCUUAACACAUGCAAGUCGAACGUGAAGCAUCGAUUGAAUACUUCGGUAGGAUAUGGGUGUGGAAAGUGGCGAACGGGUGAGUAACACGUAGGUGACCUGCCUCGAAGUGGGGGACAACCAUUGGAAACGAUGGCUAAUACCGCAUGGUUCUGUUGGUCUGGGAAGGCCGAUAGGUAAAGCUUAGGCGCUUUGAGAGGGGCCUGCGUUCGAUUAGCUAGUUGGUGGGGUAAAGGCCUACCAAGGCGACGAUCGAUAGCUGGUCUGAGAGGACGAUCAGCCACAUGGGAACUGAGACACGGUCCCA